UACGUAGGGUGCAAGCGUUUAAUCGGAAUACUGGGCGUAAAGCGUGCGCAGGCGGUUAUGUAAGACAGAUGUGAAAUGCCCGGGCUUAACCUGGGAACUGCAUUUGUGACUGCAUGGCUAGAGUUUGGCAGAGGGGGGUAGAAUUCCACGUGUAGCAGUGAAAUGCGUAGAUAGUGUGGAGGAACACCGAUGGCGAAGGCAGCCCCCUGGGUCAAGACUGACGCUCAUGCACGAAAGCGUGGGAGCAAACAGGAU
rnacentral:rRNA from 1 species